UAAACGGCAACCUUGACAGAGAAACAAUAUGACAUUUCGUAAAAUUUUAAUAAAAUUAAUUUAUAUUUAGAUAACUACAAGAUUAUAAAAUAAGCUUUAAAUUUCGUUUCUUUGUUCUUUCAGAGCAACACAUUGAAGUUUUUAUUUUAACAAUACAACAUAUAUAACUAACUAAAUAAUAUAACUAUAUAAGAAGCUUAUUAAUCUUAUAAAUAUAUAAGAUUGAUAAAUGGUUAUGAAAUUUAAAUGUUUUUAUAAUUUUGAGCACAAUAAACAAUUAUGGCUAUCUUC